AAGGCAUCAGCCCGGCAGUCACCAGCCGGGCAACCAGCAAGAAGGCAGCCAUCAGCCCGGCAGUCACCAGCCAGGAAAGCAGCAGGCAGGCCAGCACCAGCCGGGCAACCAUCAGCCAGGCCUCCAUCAGCCAGGCCUCCAUCAGCCAGGGAACCCUCAGCCAGGGAACCCUCAGCCCGCCCCGCCACUCACAGGCAGGCGAGGGAUUGCAGAGCUGACCUCCUGGAGAGGAUGUUGGGGCAGCAGCAAGGGGGCAAGGGACAUCCAGCCACGGUGCAGGAGGACAACCGUGUCCCCCCGAAGCGGAGCCUUUCCCCGCGGACACAGCGCGUCCUGCUGCAGGUGGUGACGUGCAUCCUGGGGCAGGUGGCCCGCAAGCGCAAGGGCCAGAAGGAUGAGCAGAGGGAUCUGCAGGAGAAGCUCAAGUGCGAGCUGGCGGUGCUGCAGUGGAGCCGGGCGAGGGACCAGCUGCAGAGCAGCCAAGACCCGCAGGCAGCUGGAGCCCGACGCGCAGCCCAGGCUGGGCCAGGGCAGAGGAGCGCAGGAGCGGCACAGCCCCGCGUCUGCACGGAGGAGGAGAGACAGAAGCUCUGGGAGUCCUUGCGCAAGAAGUACCAGCAGAAGGCAAGGCGAAGGAGGAGAGAGCCAUGGCAGCGCUGAAGGCUGGCAAAGAGCAGGGAGAGCCAUGGCAUGCCCAGAGCAGCCACCUGCCUCCUCCGGAAGGCAGAGGGAAGAGCCCAUUGCCCUGGUGCUGAGGAGGACUCCCUCAGGGGCAGAUCCCACCACGUGUGCUGUGUUGCUAGACCCGCAGUGUUGCUCUGCACCUCUCUGUGCAUCCAAGACUGCAGAGCUUCGUGUGCAGCUCCUCAGCUCUGCGGCGCAGAUCCCGCCCGCGUCGGUGAGUGCCGGGAGAGCCCCUGGGGCACAGAGGCUGCCCAGAGAGAUGUCCAGCAGGAGCCUCCUCCAGCAGGGCUGGGCAGGCAGGCUGUGGGCAGCAGCACUUCCCCCUGUUGAGUAAAG